AGAUAUGAGGGCGAUCUGACUGUGACAUCUGUCACUCUAUUGAUCACCAGGGUUGAUUCGGCUGAUCUAGCUAGCUAGGCAGGAGUCCCCUUCCUCCCUCACCACUCCAUGUGCUUCCCUCUUGAAGCUGUGCACUCGGUGAAAGGAUGCCAUCUUCAGUCAAGGGUAUACAAGUAGCUGCACUCCCCUGCUAGAACCUCCAAACAAGCUCUCAAGGUCCAUUUGUAAAAGAACAUAGGGUAGUCAAGCUUCCAAGACUCCAGACACAUCUGAAUGAGUUGCUGCAUGUGGCAGUCUGCCUUUCUUU
rnacentral:snRNA from 1 species